AUUGAACGCUGGCGGAAUGCUUUACACAUGCAAGUCGAACGGCAGCACGGGGCAACCUGGUGGCGAGUGGCGAACGGGUGAGUAAUACAUCGGAACGUGCCCAAUCGUGGGGGAUAACGUAGCGAAAGUUACGCUAAUACCGCAUACGAUCUACGGAUGAAAGCGGGGGAUCGCAAGACCUCGCGCGAAUGGAGCGGCCGAUGUCAGAUUAGGUAGUUGGUGGGGUAAAGGCUCACCAAGCCAACGAUCUGUAGCUGGUCUGAGAGGACGACCAGCCACACUGGAACUGAGACACGGUCCAGACUCCUACGGGAGGCAGCAGUGGGGAAUUUUGGGCAAUGGGCGAAAGCCUGACCCAGCGACGCCGCGUUGGGGAUGAAGUCCUUCGGGGCGUAAACCCAUGUUGUAGGGGAAGAAGAAAGUGACGGUACCCUACGAGAAAGCCCCGGCCAACUACGUG
rnacentral:rRNA from 1 species